rnacentral:rRNA from 1 species
AGUGAACGCUGGCGGUAGGCCUAACACAUGCAAGUCGAACGGCGGCACAGUAAGAGCUUGCUCUUACGGGUGGCGAGUGGCGGACGGGUGAGGAAUACAUCGGAAUCUACUUUUUCGUGGGGGAUAACGUAGGGAAACUUACGCUAAUACCGCAUACGACCUACGGGUGAAAGCAGGGGAUCUUCGGACCUUGCGCGAUUGAAUGAGCCGAUGUCGGAUUAGCUAGUUGGCGGGGUAAAGGCCCACCAAGGCGACGAUCCGUAGCUGGUCUGAGAGGAUGAUCAGCCAAACUGGAACUGAGACACGGUCCAGACUCCUACGGGAGGCAGCAGUGGGGAAUAUUGGACAAUGGGCGCAAGCCUGAUCCAGCCAUACCGCGUGGGUGAAGAAGGCCUUCGGGUUGUAAAGCCCUUUUGUUGGGAAAGAAAAGCAGCAGGUUAAUACCCCGCUGUUCUGACGGUACCCAAAGAAUAAGCACCGGCUAACUUCGUG